AGAGCGCUCUUGGAUCUCCCGCUCUAUGAUUCUGGACCGUUCCCUGAUCGACGACUUCUUCCGUGCCCACCCGGACCGUCGUCCUGGACCGCCUGGAGGCGGUCGUUGAGGGGGGGGUACUGACAUGGUGCCUCGGUCAGCUACCUGCCUCCUCCCCCCCUUCCUGCUCUGCCUUGGAUGCGACCAGCUGGUUCCACUUACCUCAUCAUCUUCCCCGCCUUCUUAAGGAGAUCCAGGACCUUUCUUCGGUGCCAGUUCGUUGUUACUCCCACGGAACCGUCUUCAUCACAAGGGAACCUCGGGUCGCCGUCCUCUGCUCUCGCUCCUCAUCCUUCUCCUCGGACUCAGCCGAAGUCACGCUCUCUGGUUCAUCCUGCCACAAACCUCCAGUCAGCCGCCACGCCGCAUCAAGAAUCUAGUUCUAUACUCACCUCCUGUGAAUUAAACCACCUUAACUUAC